AAGAUGAAGAGAACAAGACAAGGAGGCCGACCUCGUACCAUGUCUUAACUCUUGGAAGAAACUUCAUCACGUUCUGGAAGCACAGGUCGCAGCGCAAACGAAUCAGCACAGCUACCUCCUCCAGCACCAGCAGUGGAAGAGCAAAUCAAUACGCCAACAAGUAAAGUCACACGAGGACAGAGCAAAGGCAUUCCAGAGUGGAAUACAGGUGUCAAAGUACAUGUUCAAUUUAAUGGAAUCAAUUUCCAGCCGGUGGGAGAAAGGGCAGGUCAGCUUAAGUCACAAUUGGGUCAGAUAGUACGAAAUGGCCAUAGAGUUCCACUAAAUAUUCUUGAUUGGAAGAAAGUCGGUAAUGAUGUGAAGGAAGAAAUUUGGGAAGAGGUUAAGAAAAACUUGGUGGAAGUCCCUGAAGGCUAUAAAUCAGUUUGCUUGGAAAAUUGUAAUUUGCUUUGGAAGGACCAUAAGAGCAAAACAAAAUCGUUUCACUAUGUGCCCAAUAAGGACGAUCCUGAACUUAGUUCUAAAAAUCCUCCGCAUAUUGUUGCAGAGCAAUGGUCUGAGCUUGUUGCAUAUUGGAGUAGUGAGGAUGCAAAGGUAAAAUACACAACUAAGUACAUAUGUAUGGGGAGCUUCACAAGUUAUUUUAACACCUUGAAUUUGAAAAUGUUGCAGGUGAUAGCAGAAAGAAAUUCAAUAAACCGA